UAGGGAAUCUUCGGCAAUGGACGAAAGUCUGACCGAGCAACGCCGCGUGAGUGAAGAAGGUUUUCGGAUCGUAAAACUCUGUUGUUAGAGAAGAACAAGGACGUUAGUAACUGAACGACCCCUGACGGUAUCUAACCAGAAAGCCACGGCUAACUACGUGCCAGCAGCCGCGGUAAUACGUAGGUGGCAAGCGUUCUCCGGAUUUAUUGGGCGUAAAGCGAGCGCAGGCGGUUUCUUAAGUCUGAUGUGAAAGCCCCCGGCUCAACCGGGGAGGGUCAUUGGAAACUGGGAGACUUGAGUGCAGAAGAGGAGAGUGGAAUUCCAUGUGUAGCGGUGAAAUGCGUAGAUAUAUGGAGGAACACCAGUGGCGAAGGCGGCUCUCUGGUCUGUAACUGACGCUGAGGCUCGAAAGCGUGGGGAGCAAACAGGAUUAGAUACCCUGGUAGUCCACGCCGUAAACGAUGAGUGCUAAGUGUUGGAGGGUUUCCGCCCUUCAGUGCUGCAGCAAACGCAUUAAGCACUCCGCCUGGGGAGUACGACCGCAAGGUUG
rnacentral:rRNA from 1 species